rnacentral:lncRNA from 1 species
UGAAGGAGACGCCAUGGCCUGCGGAAGCCUGCAUGUCUACCUCGGGUCUCCGGGAAGACUGAAGGAAGCAAUCCAACUACUAUCCAAAAGCUACUCCGGGAUCUGAACAUAGUGCAGAGUGUAGUAUCAGCACAACCGACCCCAUGUACUGGUAAGUCCCUAGCCUAACCUCGGCGAAGUAAAGAUGAGGCUAUUAUAUAUGGGAGCUGGUGGUACACUAUAGGACGCAAAUCAGANNNNNNNNNNNNNNNNNNNNNNNNNNNNNNNNNNNNNNNNNNNNNNNNNNNNNNNNNNNNNNNNNNNNNNNNNNNNNNNNNNNNNNNNNNNNNNNNNNNNNNNNNNNNNNNNNNNNNNNNNNNNNNNNNNNNNNNUAUAUAUAUAUAUAUAUAUAUACAUAUAUAUAUAAAAUAAAAAAUUUGUGAGCACAUGAUUUUUGCCCUAUACGAAGAUAACUCCUAAAAGUAUACCAAAAAAUUUUUAUCAAUUUUUCAGGAAUUUUUCUUUAUUUAGUCGCAUUAUAAACAUUUUAAAUGUUUUUAAAUCAAGAAAAAAAUACAAAAAUAUCAUGCAUUACAUUCAGUAUUCAUUUUGACAUUUAGAAUUAAUCAGUGAUUACUUAUUUUAAAAAAUUGAAAUUACAAAAAAUGCUUCAUUUUUAUACUUUUUCCUUUUAUUGAUUUUUUCUCUUUUAAUUUAGGAUUAAAUAGCUUUUAUAAUUUUUAUAAUUAGUCUAAUUUUACCAUUUAGAUAGUAAAAUUGUAAAAACCGUGGAGUUUUUGCUUUCAAAAAUUCCGACCAAAAACCGUGGAUCUCCCGGCCAAAAAUCGUGGAGUUUUUGCUUUCCAAUAUCCCGGCCAAAAAAUCAAGGAUCUCCCAUCCAAAAAACUGCGGAGCAUUUUCUAUCUAAUUCCCGGCCAAAAAUCCGAGGAUCUCACAGCCAAAAAAUCGCGGAGCUUUUUCUGUUUAAAUACUGGCCAAAAAAUCGAGGAUCUCCUUGGCAUAACCUAAGGAUCUUUUUAUUUUCAAAUCCCGGAAUAACCCGUGGACCUUUUCCGGCAUAACCCGUGGACCUUUUCCGGCAUAACCCUGGACCCUUUCAGGCAUAACCCGAUGAUUUUUCCGGCAUAACCCGUGAACCUUUUCCGGCAUUACCCGAUGAUUUUUUUCCGGCAUAACUCGUGGACUUUUUUCAGUACAACCCGAUGACUUUCUCGGCAUAACCGAUGGACCUGUUCCGGCAUAACCCGAUAACAUCCCCGUCAUAACCCGAGGACCCCUCUCUCUUUUCCGGCAUAACCCGGCCGUUUUCCAGCAUAACCUGGAUUCAAUCACAAAGAUACACAAUCCUGAUUUGACUGCUUAGAUAUGUGUCACAGCUAACUCACGAAAUUUUCCUAGUAAAAACUAUGGCAGAAAAUUUCGUUCAUUUGUUUGUUUUGGUAUCUUAACCAGGUUGACCUCAAAACACAGGAUUCAAGAUGACCAAAAGAAUGACUCUCAAUCCAGAAUAAAGAAAAGAGGAAAAGAACAAAAAGAAGUGAACUUAAAGUGGUGAAGUGGGGAAGGACGUGGACUGCUCAAGAUACGAUUGAAGUCACGAGCUUCGCAUGUCCCGCCUUGAUCUAAAGCUGAAGAAUGCACCAGCGGUAAUAGCUGACGAGCAUCGAGAUUCAGAUCAGAGUCUGCCUCAAGAACUAGCCAAGACUCAAGAUCAAGCUUCAAAAGAUUUAUAGAUAGGAAUCUUGUAGCUCGUAGUUGAUAGGGAGCUAGCUUAGCUUUUGAUUUUCCUUUUUUGGUGUAAUAAGGAGGUCAGCAAAUAGUAGCAUCAGCAACAGCGGUGAAAUCACAGCUCUUGGUAGUCUCAGCUACCAAAACUUCCAGAACACUGACCUGAUUCCUUUAUAACCAAGGAUACGUAGGCAACCUUUGGAGCAAGGUUCGGACAGACUCUUUCAAAAAUGGCUUCUCAUGGAGUUUUAAAAUGGGAAAAAAUACCUCAUAUUGCUCAUUUUAUCUUUGCCCGAAAAUCCUUCGUGUCACCGAGCAAAGAGGGGCAGCUGUGAACAUGUGAUUUUUGCCCUACAUGAAGAUAACACCUAAAAAUAUAUCAAAAUAAUUUUUAUCAAUUUUUCAAGAAUUUUUCUUUAUUUAGUUGCAUUAUACACAUUUUAAAUGUUUUUAAAUCAAGAAAAAAAUACAAAAAUAUCAUGCAUUACAUUCAGUAUUCAUUUUUACACUUUUAGAAUUAAUCAGUAAUUACUUAUUUUAAAAAAUUGAAAUUACAAAAAAAUGCUUCAUUUUUAUACUUUUUCCUUUUAUUGAUUUUUUCUCUUUUAAUUUAGGAUUAAAUAGCUUUUAUAAUUUUUAUAAUUAGACAAUUUAGAUAGUUUAGGAUUUUAAUUUUUAGGAUUUUUAAUCAAAGAAAAGAGAAUAAGGAUUCAAUUGCAAUGAAGUUUUAUAUUAAGUAAUUGGGCCGUUUAAAGUCAUAAUCAAUCCUAAAAAUUACCCAAACCCAUCUAAAACAAGCUCAAAUGCUCUUACCCGAUCCAAAACCCUUUUCCCUUUAGAAACACGCAAAUAGCGUGGUCUCUUCUCCAUUCUUCGAUCCCAGCUAUUUUACCCUAUUCUUCUUCUCCACUCCCCUAAAAAAUCACGAAUCAGAUUUGAGAUACCUCCCCCUCAAAAUCGACAAAAAUAGACCCCUUAGAUUGAACACCGUUCCUUAGCCUCACCAUCUCUUCCUCAAGAAGGAAAGAACAUCAAUAGACCUUUCUUUAUCUCAAACGCACACAACAACAGAAGAGAGAAUCAUAGCAGCUGGAAAAUUUUGGGUUUCCAGAUCUGAAAAAUACCAGAAAAUCACAGAGAAAUUCCACACAAAGAAAAAUAAAAACAAAAAACAAAAAAGAAGAAGAAAGAUUUCAAAGUUUACUUGCAAUUUCAGCUGCAUUUUUGUUCAAGUUGUGUUUUCUCGAGCUGGUUUCUGACUGAGAAUCAAAGCUGAACGCUGUUGUUCCGUCACUAGCUGAACUCCGUAGUCGUCUAGCUGCUAUUUUUGUAUUCUGCUGAAAUUUAACGUAUGCAGCUGAACACUCCUUUGACUAUGGGUUAUAUAUCUGCUAUUUUAUUUUUGAUCUCAUGUAACCAUACAAGUGUUCUCUGGAUUUAAUUGUAUUAUGCUUUUGCUUAGUCUGCCUAUGGCUCUUUUUUCAAAUCUUAUGGUUUUCUUUGGAUAUGUUACGUUCUUUGAAUUCUUAUUUUGCUUCUCUAAGUGUUUUUAAACAUUUUUGCUUGCUCUGUUCGAUAUAGAUGAAGGACAGCAAAUGACUGCAACAGAUCAUUCUUUAAGCCUUUACUUAGGGAAUCAAUAAUUCAAAUGCACUAGUGACUUUGGGUACGGUUUACGUGAUAUAGUUACGAUGCCUAAUUUUGAAUUCGGGCGUGUCAUUUAGCGAAUUUUCAUGGCCCUCACAAAGUAGAAAAUCAUAGUUGUCUUAGCUUGACCUUCAAAGAAU